GAUGAACGCUGGCGGCGUGCUUAAUACAUGCAAGUCGAGCGAACAGACGAGGAGCUUUCUCUUCUUACGUUAGCGGCGGACGGGUGAGUAACACGUGGAUAACCUAUGUAUAUGAGUGGGAUAACUUCGGGAAACCGGAGCUAAUACCGGAUAAUCUAUUGAACCGCAUGGUUGAAGAGAGAAAGACGGUGUUGCUGUCACGUAUAGAUGGAUUCGAGCCGGAUUAGCUAGUUGGUAAGGUAACGGCGUAGCAAGGGAACGAUGCGUAGCCGACCUGAGAGGGUGAUCGGCCGCACUGGAGCUGAACCAGGCUCAAGACUCCUGCGGGAGGCACCAGUAGGAAAUCUUCGGCAAUGGGGGAAAACCUGACGGAGCAGCGCCGCGUGAGUGAUAAAGGUCUUGGGAUCGUAAAACCCUGUUAUUGGGGAAGAACAAAUGUGUACGUAGAUGUACAGGUAUUGACGGUACCUAAUCAGAAAGCCACGGCUAACUACGUG
rnacentral:rRNA from 1 species